AUUGAACGCUGGCGGCAGGCCUAACACAUGCAAGUCGAGCGAGCGGCGGACGGGUGAGUAAUGUAUGGGGACUGCCCGAUAGAGGGGGUUAACGACUGGAAACGGUGGCUAAUACCGCAUACUAUCGGAUAACCCAUAUGGGAUUAGCUAGUAGGUGGGGUAAAGGCUCACCUAGGCGACGAUCUCUAGCUGGUCUGAGAGGAUGAACAGCCACUCUGGGACUGCGACACGGCCCAGACUCCUACGGAGGCAGAUGGGGGGAAUAUUGCACAAUGGGGACAUGCCUGAUGCAGCCAUGCCGCGUGUAUGAAGAGGGCCUUAGGUUUUUAAAGUACUUUCAGCGGGGAGGCGUUACCCGCAGAAGAAGCACCGGCUAACUCCGUGCCAGCAGCCGCGGUAAUAC
rnacentral:rRNA from 1 species